rnacentral:ncRNA from 1 species
AAGCUUGGUCCUGACUUUACUAUCAACUUUAGCUAUAUUUACACAUGCAAGUAUCCGCACCCCUGUGAGAAUGCCCUAAUAGCUCCCCGCCCGGGAACAAGGAGCUGGUAUCAGGCACAACCAACUGUAGCCCACGACACCUUGCUUUGCCACACCCUCAAGGGAACUCAGCAGUGAUAGACAUUAAGCCAUAAGUGAAAACUUGACUUAGUUAAAGCUAAGAGGGCCGGUUAAACUCGUGCCAGCCACCGCGGUUAUACGAGAGGCCCAAGUCGAUAGUCAACGGCGUAAAGAGUGGUUAGAAGAAACCCAUUACUAAAGCCGAACGCCCUCAAAGCUGUUAUACGCAUCCGAAGGUGAGAAGCCCAUCCACGAAAGUGGCUUUACAAUCUUGAAUCCACGAAAGCUAUGAUACAAACUGGGAUUAGAUACCCCACUAUGCUUAGCCCUAAACAUUGACAACAACAUACACCUGUUGUCCGCCUGGGAACUACGAGCAUCAGCUUGAAACCCAAAGGACUUGGCGGUGCUUUAGAUCCACCUAGAGGAGCCUGUUCUAGAACCGAUAACCCCCGUUCAACCUCACCCUUCUUUGUUUCCCCCGCCUAUAUACCGCCGUCGUCAGCUUACCCUGUGAAGGAUUAAUAGUAAGCAAAAUUGGUACAACCCUAAACGCCAGGUCGAGGUGUAGCGUAUGGAAGGGGAAGAAAUGGGCUACAUUCUCUAACACAGAGAAAACGAAUGAUGUACUGAAAUACACGUCUGAAGGAGGAUUUAGCAGUAAGCAGGAAAUAGAGUGUCCCGCUGAAAUUGGCCCUGAAGCGCGCACACACCGCCCGUCACUCUCCCCAAACUAAUUAAAUUCAAUUAAAUAAAACCCCAUCACAGUGAAGGGGAGGCAAGUCGUAACAUGGUAAGUGUACCGGAAGGUGCACUUGGAAAAAUCAGGGCAUAGCUAAGACAGAAAAGCAUCUCCCUUACACUGAGCAGUCAUCCGUGCAAAUCGGGUUGCCCUGACGCCCAUUAGCUAGCCGUCUCAACUAAAAACAACAAAUCCCCAUCAAUACCCCCUAAGACACUCAAAACAACACUAAACAAACCAUUUUCCCCCCAAGUACGGGCGACAGAAAAGGA